GAUGAAGAACGUAGCGAAAUGCGAUAAGUAAUGUGAAUUGCAGAAUUCAAUGAAUCAUCGAAUCUUUGAACGCACAUUGCGCCCUCUGGUAUUCCGGGGGGCAUGCCUGUUCGAGCGUCAUUAUAACCACUCAAGCUCUCGCUUGGUAUUGGGGUUCGCGGUUCCGCGGCCCCUAAAAUCAGUGGCGGUGCCUGUCGGCUCUACGCGUAGUAAUACUCCUCGCGAUUGAGUCCGGUAGGUCUACUUGCCAGCAACCCCCAAUUUUUACAGGUUGACCUCGGAUCAGGUAGGGAUACCCGCUGAACUUAAGCAUAUCAAUAAGCGGAGGA
rnacentral:misc_RNA from 1 species